rnacentral:rRNA from 1 species
AUUGAACGCUGGCGGCAUGCUUUACACAUGCAAGUCGAGCGGCAGCGCGGGGGGCAACCCUGGCGGCGAGCGGCGAACGGGUGAGUAAUGCAUCGGAACGUACCCUGGAGUGGGGGAUAACGCCGCGAAAGCGGCGCUAAUACCGCAUAUGCUCUGAGGAGGAAAGUGGGGGACCGCAAGGCCUCACGCUCUGGGAGCGGCCGAUGUCCGAUUAGCUAGUUGGUGGGGUAAAGGCUUACCAAGGCGACGAUCGGUAGCUGGUCUGAGAGGAUGAUCAGCCACACUGGGACUGAGACACGGCCCAGACUCCUACGGGAGGCAGCAGUGGGGAAUUUUGGACAAUGGGGGCAACCCUGAUCCAGCCAUGCCGCGUGAGUGAAGAAGGCCUGG